ACAGAAAUGGCAGAUAAGUGCAUUAGAUUUAAGCUCUAAAUAUAAAGACAUAUUCUUUUUUUUGUA
rnacentral:tRNA from 1 species